rnacentral:rRNA from 1 species
AGUAAACGCUGGCGGCAGGCCUAACACAUGCAAGUCGAACGGCAGCACAAGAGAGCUUGCUCUCUGGGUGGCGAGUGGCGGACGGGUGAGGAAUGCAUCGGAAUCUGCCCAUUUGUGGGGGAUAACCUCGGGAAACCGGGACUAAUACCGCAUACGACCUACGGGUGAAAGCAGGGGAUCUUCGGACCUUGCGCAGAUGGAUGAGCCGAUGCCGGAUUAGCUAGUUGGAGGGGUAAAGGCCCACCAAGGCGACGAUCCGUAGCUGGUCUGAGAGGAUGAUCAGCCACACUGGGACUGAGACACGGCCCAGACUCCUACGGGAGGCAGCAGUUGGGAAUAUUGGACAAUGGGCGCAAGCCUGAUCCAGCCAUGCCGCGUGUGUGAAGAAGGCCUUCGGGUUGUAAAGCACUUUUGUUGGGAAAGAAAAGCAGCCGGUUAAUACCCGGUUGUCAUGACGGUACCCAAAGAAUAAGCACCGGCUAACUUCGUG